rnacentral:ncRNA from 1 species
GCCGCGCCAUGCUUAGGAUGUGCGAUGUAAUCGGCAGGCGUAGGAAUCUGGUGAGAAUCCAGAACGGUCGCGCCACUGUGAGAGUCAGACCCGACGCCUGCUUCAUUCCACUCGGGACGCGAAAUCCCGGAAAGGACCCCUGAUGACGUCACCGCAAGCGCGCCAGACCCGCGUUCCGGCCAUCGACCUG